AUGAACGCUGGCGGCGUGCCUAAUACAUGCAGGUCGAACGCUUCACUUCGGUGAAGAGUGGCGAACGGGUGAGUAAUACAUAAGUAACCUGGCAUCUACAGGGGGAUAACUGAUGGAAACGUCAGCUAAGACCGCAUAGGUGUAGAGAUCGCAUGAACUCUAUAUGAAAAGUGCUACGGGACUGGUAGAUGAUGGACUUAUGGCGCAUUAGCUUGUUGGUAGGGUAACGGCCUACCAAGGCGACGAUGCGUAGCCGACCUGAGAGGGUGACCGGCCACACUGGGACUGAGACACGGCCCAGACUCCUACGGGAGGCAGCAGUAGGGAAUUUUCGGCAAUGGGGGAAACCCUGACCGAGCAACGCCGCGUGAAGGAAGAAGUAAUUCGUUAUGUAAACUUCUGUCAUAGAGGAAGAACGGUGGAUAUAGGGAAUGAUAUCCAAGUGACGGUACUCUAUAAGAAAGCCACGGCUAACUACGUG
rnacentral:rRNA from 1 species